AUUGAACGCUGGCGGCAGGCCUAACACAUGCAAGUCGAGCGAGGGGCGGGCGGGUGAGUAAUGCCUGGGAAUUGCCCAGUCGGGGGGGAUAACAGGUGGAAACGACUGCUAAUACCGAAUACGGUUGGAUUGCCCAGGGGGGAUUAGCUAGUGGGUGAGGUAAUGGCUCACCAAGGCGACGAUCCCUAGCUGGUCUGAGAGGAUGAUCAGCCACACUGGAACUGAGACACGGUCCAGACUCCUACGGGAGGCAGCAGUGGGGAAUAUUGCACAAUGGGGGCAACCCUGAUGCAGCCAUGCCGCGUGUAUGAAGAAGGCCUUAGGGUUGUAAAGUACUUUCAGCGAGGAGGCGUUACCCGCAGAAGAAGCACCGGCUAACUCCGUGCCAGCAGCCGCGGUAAUAC
rnacentral:rRNA from 1 species